UACAGAGGUCCCAAGCGUUGUUCGGAUUCAUUGGGCGUAAAGGGUGCGUAGGUGGCGCUGUAAGUCGGGUGUGAAAUUUCGGAGCUUAACUCCGAAACUGCAUUCGAUACUGCGGUGCUUGAGGACUGGAGAGGAGACUGGAAUUCAUGGUGUAGCGGUGAAAUGCGCAGAUAUCAGGAGGAACACCGGUGGCGAAGGCGGGUCUCUGGGCCGAUACUGACGCUGAGGAGCGAAAGCGUGGGGAGCGAACAGG
rnacentral:rRNA from 1 species